GAUGAUGAGCAGGAAGGAAUUUUGGAUGAGAGUCGCCGUCUUUGUGACCUUAGACUCUUCUCACCCAUCCUCAAAGUAGUAGAACCACGUGGGAGCAAGGAAGAAAAAGUACUCAACUAUGAAAUUAGUUUGGCGAUUGGUCGUUGUGUCCAUGAUCUAGAUGACGUAAAGGACACAGAAAUUCAGCAGUUUCGACGUAAAAUUUUAGAGGUGAUUGGGGAUGCUGUCAAGGCUAGACAGACUGGUGGCCUUGAGUCAUUGGCUUGUUACCAGCAUCCUCCUGAACUAGAACCCUCAUCAAAGCUCCCUACCUCCAUAGAGAAGCAUCUUGAUGAAGGU